AGAUUUGCUGGAAAAGGGAUACAUCAAGGAUCAUGAAUUUAGCAUAUCAACCCGCAGCAGCUCUGGAACGACCCUUGCUUCGGCUGCUGUGAAACUUGGAAAGCACUCUUCUACAUAUCUUGCAGCAAAAUACAAUUGCAAGAAUGCUACCAUUGAUAUAAAAGUUGAUUCGAAAUCACAGCUUUCAGCAAGCCUCAGUUUCAGUGGAAAGUUUUUGCCAUCCACGAAGAUUAUAGCUUCCUUGAAAUUGCCUCAUUACAGCUCCAGUGAGGUACAGAUGCCUUAAUCAUUUGGCUGUGAUUAUGAGUUUAAUAGGUGGAUUAUACAAAGCCUGGUCGGAUUAUAUGACAUUGGAUUCGAGAAAAGAAAUACAUUUUCACACCUUGAACGCCAUGAAAUUGAGAAAGCUCAUAAAUUAAAAGUAAUCUUACAUGCAUAA